rnacentral:rRNA from 1 species
UACGUAGGGCGCAAGCGUUAUCCGGAAUUAUUGGGCGUAAAGAGCUCGUAGGCGGUUUGUCGCGUCUGCCGUGAAAGUCCGGGGCUCAACUCCGGAUCUGCGGUGGGUACGGGCAGACUAGAGUGAUGUAGGGGAGACUGGAAUUCCUGGGUGUAGCGGUGAAAUGCGCAGGAUAAUCAGGAGGAACACCGAUGGCGAAGGCAGGGUCUCUGGGCAUUAACUGACGCUGAGGAGCGAAAGCAUGGGGAGCGAA